AAAUCGACGGAAAACCGAUACCUCUCUCCGCAAACCAAACACUCCACAUUCCUCUCUCUCUCUUCUCUGUGAUAGAUCGACUUCGAUCCACUCCCGAUAUUGUCCAUCUGCUACACGUCGUCACCUCCUCGCCGUCGCCGGUAAGUCUCCUCUGUCUCUCUCUCUCUCUCUCUCUCUCUCUCUCUCUCUCUCUUUCUAUAACUUUCACUCAAUGUGUCUCUCUUCCUCCACGAUUAGGUUGCCCCAUCGUGCCCCACAGUCGCGUGCGACCUCCUCCCCUCAAUACCUAUUUAAGCAAGCCAGUCUGAUAUUCUUUCAAUCUUCGUGUGCUACUAAGUUUAUUCUAUAUAAGCUGAAAAUGGUGGAAAGAUAACUGAAGUCCACAGUGCUGCCAAGUUUAUUGUAUAUAAACUCUGGAUGUUGAAGAUAACUGAAGUCCAUGGUGCUGCCGAGUUUAUUGAAAAUGACAGUCAAAGAUAAUUGAAGAAGACAUUUCAUUUGUAAAUUUGUAAUGGAAAAGUUAUGAAUAUUUGGAUGUUGAUUAGUCUGGAACUUUGUCAAUGUGUGAUAUUAAUUAUAAUGCCCGAAUAUCAUCUAGUCCGGUCAGGUGACCAUACCAUGGAAAUUUAGUAAUUGGUUUGUAUACGUGUAUGGAAUACUGCCUGUAAAAUCAGAUUUCAUCGUGGAUAUGUAGUUGAUCUUGGGGAUGAACUAUUA